rnacentral:rRNA from 1 species
GACGGAGGGGGCUAGCGUUGUUCGGAAUUACUGGGCGUAAAGAGCGCGUAGGCGGAUUAGUAAGUUGAGAGUGAAAGCCCGGGGCUUAACCUCGGAACUGCUUUCAAAACUGCUAGUCUAGAGUGAAGUAGGGGGUGAUGGAAUUCCUAGUGUAGAGGUGAAAUUCUUAGAUAUUAGGAGGAACACCGGUGGCGAAGGCGGUCACCUGGGCUUCAACUGACGCUGAGGCGCGAAAGCGUGGGGAGCGAACAGG